GCGCGCCUGAGCCAGCUGAGGGGAGUCGUUUGUGUCGGGGAAAAGCUCAGCCGAGAGAACAGUUACACCAAUGCUUUCUGGAAGUCUAGAGUCAGCAGACUUGGUUUCCAUGUGAUGUUUACAUACUCUUCUUAUCACCUCAGGCUAGCUGUUUCUCAAGAUCCCACAGAACUGCAUGAAGGAGAUGCUACAGUGAUGAUGUAAUUGCUGAGGAAGCACAGACAGAAGGGGAAGACUUAAAUCUCUAAUCUUCCCCUUGCCCGUGGCUUUC